UCCCUGGUGGUCCAGUGAUUAAGACUCUGCACUCUCAACGUGGGGGACCCAGGUUCAAUCCCCGGUCAGGGAA
rnacentral:tRNA from 1 species